AUUGAACGCUGGCGGCAUGCUUUACACAUGCAAGUCGAACGGCAGCGGGUCCUUCGGGAUGCCGGCGAGUGGCGAACGGGUGAGUAAUGCAUCGGAACGUGCCCAGUCGUGGGGGACAACGUAGCGAAAGUUACGCUAAUACCGCAUACGACCUGAGGGUGAAAGCAGGGGAUCGCAAGACCUUGCGCGAUUGGAGCGGCCGAUGUCAGAUUAGCUAGUUGGUGGGGUAAAAGGCUCACCAAGGCGACGAUCUGUAGCGGGUCUGAGAGGAUGAUCCGCCACACUGGGACUGAGACACGGCCCAGACACCUACGGGAGGCAG
rnacentral:rRNA from 1 species